GUGCUUGCUUUGGCAGCACAUAUCCUAAAAUUGGAACGAUACAGAGAAGAUGAGCGUGGCUCCUGCACGAGGAUGACACACAAAUUCGUGAAGCAUUCCAUAUCUUU
ensembl:snRNA U6 U6 spliceosomal RNA